CACCGUUUAUCUCCUUCUCCCCACUAUUUGCCCCCUCCCUGACUUGAGCGUCGGAGGGCCGGCGCCGGAGAACCCGGCCACCGGUUCGUGUGCAGGCACCCGGACGGAGGACCCCGCCAGCCAACGGAUCGCCGCCCCGCUAUGAGGACCUGCUGUUCCUUCUCUCCGACCGGCCCGGACGGAGGACGCCGCCAGCCAACGGAUCGUCGCCCCGCUGCGAGGACCUGCUGUUCCCUCUCUCCGACCGCCCUGGACGGAGGACGCCGCCCGCCGACAGACCGCCGCCCCGCCGUGAGGACUAACAGUCGUUCCCUCUCCUCGACCGAAGGUUGCCCCCGGGUCCAAUUUUCAGCAACAGAAAUCAUGCUUUCAUUCAAAAAGAGGGAGAUAAAAUAUCCAAGUAAAUUCGCAAAGACUCUUCUUAUUUCAUUGCAAAGCGGCAAACGACUAAAUUAGAUACCCUUCAACAGACGUUCAGAGACAAGAAGGCGCGCUAACACAUGCAAACACUUAUACAACGACACAUACUCGUUAUUCCCUCGAAAGAAAGAGGCUGCAGCAUCACCAACGAACGCCUCUAGAAUGCACCGCUUCUUGC
rnacentral:lncRNA from 1 species